AACUACUUGUUCCUUAAAUUGUAAAUAAAUUACAAAUUUAUACUUUCCAAUGUAUCGCAAUGAUCGUAUCUCCACAAGACAUUGGUGUAUAAAUAUACAUUUUUUUUAAACACAAACAUUCAGCCAAGAUUGAGCAUUAAAGUGUUAAAAGGUUAAAUGUUAAAUAAAUUGGGACUGAGUUUUUAAUGAAUUCUCUGAAGUAGAUACCUAUGUUUUUUACAUUUCCUUCACAUAGAUACUUUAUAAAAUAGCAUAAUUC